rnacentral:rRNA from 1 species
GACGAACGCUGGCGGCGUGCUUAACACAUGCAAGUCGAACGGAAAGGCCCUGCUUUUGUGGGGUGCUCGAGUGGCGAACGGGUGAGUAACACGUGAGUAACCUGCCCUUGACUUUGGGAUAACUUCAGGAAACUGGGGCUAAUACCGGAUAGGAGCUCCUGCUGCAUGGUGGGGGUUGGAAAGUUUCGGCGGUUGGGGAUGGACUCGCGGCUUAUCAGCUUGUUGGUGGGGUAGUGGCUUACCAAGGCUUUGACGGGUAGCCGGCCUGAGAGGGUGACCGGCCACAUUGGGACUGAGAUACGGCCCAGACUCCUACGGGAGGCAGCAGUGGGGAAUAUUGCACAAUGGGCGGAAGCCUGAUGCAGCAACGCCGCGUGCGGGAUGACGGCCCUCGGGUUGUAAACCGCUUUCGCCUGUGACGAAGCGUGAGUGGCGGUAAUGGGUAAAGAAGCACCGGCUAACUACGUG